GAUAGCUUGAAGGUCGGCCAUGUGUCCACUCCAGGGAUUCAUCCUGCUGCUGUCACUGGCCUGUGGACGCUGCCAAUAUGCCUCCUUCAGCCAAAGCCCCUCUGAGAUCUCAGUGUCUCCUGACAGAUGGUGGCUCUGGAACGUGCUGUGGCAAACAUCACAGCAGACAAGGUCAACGUCAACUGGAUCCGGCAGAGCCCUGGACAGAAACCCGAAGGGGUGCUGCUCUUCAAAAUAGAUCUGUACAUUUACCGAGCUCCAGGGAUCCCAGAGCGAUACGUCCCCUCCAGAUAUGCCUCCAACAAGAAGUUCUUGCUCACCAUCCGUGAUGUCCACGAAGGAGAUGACUCCAUCUAUUUCUGCUUUGCUUACUAUGGUUCAGCUGGAGUCCAGACGUGGGGAGAGGGGACCCACGUGCAUGUGUUGAAGAAUAAUCUGCCCCAGCCCCGAAUCCAGCUGUUCCCUCCAGCCCAGGAGGAAUCGCCACUGGCUUCACCAUCCUGACCUGCCUAGUGAGCGGCUUCUUCCCUGGCUACAUCAACGCGCUGUGGAGGUGAGACUGCCAGACCCAGGCCCAGGGGGUGAGAACGGUGCUGGUCGCACUGGGAGAAGACAAGACCUACUUAGGGAGCAGCUACCUGACACUGCCAGCCAGCGAGUGGGACUUGGGUGCCAGCUAUAGCUGUGUGGUCAAGCAUGAAUCACUGGCAUCCACCCUGGAGGAGAGCAUCAGUGCCAAGGACUGAAAAAGACAGUAGCCCAGUGGAGAGCCUCUGCUCCCAGAUCCCAGGGGCCCUGCCAGGUUCAACCUCCCCCAUUCCCAUCUGCCAGGCUGGGAAACCCCCUCAGCUUGGACGAAUACAGUCCCUCGUCCAGAGCAACCUCCCCCCAUGACCUGACACUCCCUGAGAUCCCGCCCAGCAGCAUCCCUUCAACAGCAGCAGAUCCACUUCUGCCUUGCUUUUGGGGGGGGGCAAGGACCCAGCCUGGGCUGGGGGCAGAGCUGAACCCAAGAUGCAAAGCUUCAGUCCUGGUUCUCCAGACCAUACCUGGUUCCUUUUGCAAAUCUGUCUAGCCUACUAUCCCUUCUCCUACCCCACUGUCUGUCUGUCCGGCCCCUCUGUUUCUUUUCACAUGCACUCAUCCCUCCAUACACAGCCCUCCUCUCUCUCCAUCCAGCCAUGUACACCCCUCUCCCCAUGGUUUUACGGAUCUAUGUAUCAAUGCUGCUUGUUUCCUCUCUACUUAUUCAUCUCACCCCACUAUUGACCCAAUGUACACGUCUAUUUACCUACCAAUCCAUCCAUCCAACUAAUCUCCACGCAUGCUCCCUUCUCAGCAGCAGUUUAGUAAGCCAGCAUUUAUAAAGUGGAAGAAAAAGCAAAGACAAUAAAAGAAAACUUGAUACCAAAUUCAUUGCUUUGUACUUUUUUUUUAAAGCAAAACAAACAUAUC